GACAAACGCUGGCGGCAUGCCUAACACAUGCAAGUCGAACGGACAGAACAGGGAAGCUUUUCGGAGUGGAACUGGAAAGUUAGUGGCGGAUGGGUGAGUAACGCGUGGACAACCUACCUUGUAAAGGGGAAUAACCUCGAGAAAUCGAAGCUAAUACCCCAUAAUAACCUUGCUUCGCAUGAAGUAAGGAGGAAAGGCGGCCUUAGCGCUGUCGAUACAAGAUGGGUCCGCGUCUGAUUAGCUAGUUGGUGAGGUAAAGGCUCACCAAGGCGACGAUCAGUAGCCGGCCUGAGAGGGUGAACGGCCACAUUGGGACUGGGACACGGGCCAAACUCCUACGGGAGGCAGCAGUGGGGAAUCUUGCGCAAUGGGCGAAAGCCUGAUGGAGCAAUGGCGCGUGAGUGAAGAAGGCCUUCGGGUUGUAAAACUCUGUCCGUAUCGAAGAGGGAUUGUUGUAGUAAUUGACAAUACUAGGACGGUAGAUGAGGAGGAAGCCCCGGCUAACUAUGUG
rnacentral:rRNA from 1 species